rnacentral:rRNA from 1 species
UACGUAGGUGACAAGCGUUGUCCGGAUUUACUGGGCGUAAAGAGCGCGCAGGCGGUCGUUCAAGUCGAGUGUGAAAGCCCCCGGCUCAACUGGGGAGGGUCACGCGAUACUGAUCGACUCGAAGGCAGGAGAGGGUAGUGGAAUUCCCGGUGUAGUGGUGAAAUUCGUAGAUAUUGGGAAGAACACCGGUGGCGAAGGCGGCUCUCUGGACCGAUACUGACGCUGAGGCGCGAAAGCGUGGGGAGCAAACAGG